rnacentral:rRNA from 1 species
UACGUAGGGCGCAAGCGUUGUCCGGAAUUAUUGGGCGUAAAGAGCUCGUAGGCGGUUUGUCGCGUCUGCUGUGAAAACUCGAGGCUCAACCUCGGGCUUGCAGUGGGUACGGGCAGACUAGAGUGCGGUAGGGGAGACUGGAAUUCCUGGUGUAGCGGUGGAAUGCGCAGAUAUCAGGAGGAACACCGAUGGCGAAGGCAGGUCUCUGGGCCGCAACUGACGCUGAGGAGCGAAAGCGUGGGGAGCGAACAGG